ACCCGACCCUGCGCUGCCUUUCCAAACCUCCAGACACUGAGGAAAAAAAAAAAACCUGAACCACAAACUGACCCAGAGUCAGUUCUCAACAGAUUUAGACUGAAGUUUAUUGAACGGACAUAAAAAGAUCUGAUCCUGCAGCAGAAGUCAACGGGGACUCGGGACGUGUCUCAAAAGUGUUUCUCAGCCUCCUUCUGCAUCACAGCCUUCACUCGAGCUCCGCUUCAGGGCUCAAAAACAUCCGUUCAUGCUUUUUAACAACAGAAAUUCUGGUGGAUUUGAGGAUGUACGAAUAAAUAAGUUUGUGAGGACGUUUUAAAGAAAUGGUGAAUGUCAACAGGAUCUCUAACCUCAAUGGGAUUUACCUGGUUUCCAAAAAAAAAAAAAAAAAAAAAAAA